GUAAAAACCAACUUUUUGAUAAGGGAGUAAAAAGUGUCACUGCCUUUGGAAACCUGCCCCCAGUGGUCUUUGCAGGAACUGUAAUAUUUGGUGAGCAGGAGGUCUACAUCAGGGAGUGGGCAAACUUUGGGUCUUGUGGACCACAGAGGGUUCUAAAAUUUCACAAAAGUGAAAAGCAACAUUUUCCUUAAAAUAAAUGUUUAGGAGUAUUAUACCAAUGAAAUCCUAAAGUGAGUUUUUAACGCUCUGAUCAUCCCUGUAGGUUCAAGUCUGCAGUUUUCACCUAAAUAAUUAAAAAGUCUUAAGAAAAACUAGGAUAUCUGGGUUAUUGAUACCAACACAGUAGAUGACCUCCCUGCAGCCACGGAACAACUGAAAGUAGCCAAUAACUUCCUGAUGGUGCUGGGAUCUUCUCCUCAGCAUGCAGAGGAGCUCACGUCUGAUCCCGACGGACGAGAAGGUGACGCUUCAGCAGAUCACGGCGGCAGCAAAGGACUCGCUUCGAUGCUUCCAGCAGGUGUCAUCCACCUGAGAACCAACCUGCCGCACCAAAACCCCAUUUCCACGUCUGUCAGGAGCGUGAGGAGCGCUCCAGCCUUUAAUCUAAACUUCAGCGCACGUUUCUGCAGCACAAAUCUGAUGUCGCAUCUGCAGGUGAAGAGCGCACGAGAUGGGAACCAAAGAAACCAGAUGCUGGAAUAAUCCUGGAGAGAUGAUGAUGAAGAGGAGGAUGAGGAGGACCAUCAGAAGUUGCUGUCAGAGCAGAAAUGACUCUCCAGAUGUUGACAUCAGAUUGCAGAACCCCUGCAGAGGCGUCCGAACAACUGGAUGGCUUCGACUAAGGGGGCACGAGGCAAAAAAGGGCGCAGCACCUAAAGCAGAGGGCGCGCGACUGCCAUUAACAGACCCCCCCUCCCCGCCCCAAGAAAAAAUGCGUUUGAGAUUAUUUUUUUCUUGAAAGCGUCCGCACCCCCCAGGAGCGAACUCUCCUCCAAAGCCGGAGUUCUCACUCCUCUGCACCGCCUGCAGACACGAGACCAGCCGUGGAGGACAAGUUUGGCUUAUCACCGCUUACCUCCAUGCGCGCGCGGGCCAGCGGGGAGGGUUUUUUUUGGAGGGGGGUACAUGUCGCAUCCCUACUGCUCCUCGUCUCGUGCUGAAUCGCAGUCUCUCGCCCCCCGUGAUCCUCUUUCUUUUCUUCUCCUCCCCACCAGCGAGCCUUUACGCAGCCUCACCAAAACAAAUCCCGCGUGCGUUUCGCCGCGUGUCCCCCCAGCAGCACGCGGCGUCGAAGCUGGCGCGCGGCUCUCCGGCUCGCUAACAAGUUGUCAGCCUGCCCCCUGCUGGAGGUUCCUGUCAUAGUUUUCCAUGCAGAUGUGGACGCGCUGGGUGAAGUAGCUGCGGUCAGAAAUGGCUCGGAGGAGGUCGUUCUGGAUCAGCGCGAUGUCGAACAGCUCAGAGGUGCAGGCCGUGCGGGUUUCAGAACCGCCAGGGUCCAAGAAGACCUGCGGAACGAACACGGGACGGAAUUACAGGACCUCAAACUCGGAUGUUUCCAGCAUCUCCUCGGGUUUCUCCUGACGAAGAAAGACCAGCAGGGCGGCGCUCACUCCAAAGAAAAUGCUGAGGCAUUUAUGGCAUUUGUCUCACAAAAGAGGACAUAUAUGCCAUAUAUAUGUCAUUUGUCAUACAUGUAUGACGAAAAGAAACGUUUCUGAGUAUAUCUUUAUUCAAAUUGUCAACACUCUGAUGAACUCCUGCCGCUCUGCAGAAACUAUGUCCUGGAAAAGACACCGUUUUUUUUUUUUUGUGGCUAAAAACAGCAGCAUCAUCAUUAUAAUUAGAAGAUGCUUUAAAAAUAGAUCAGAUGAAGAUCUGGAGUGAGACUUGAAUCAAAUGAGUCUGAGCUGCUGAUAAAUGUUUUUAGUCAAACAGAUUCCACCAGGGCCACGGUGGGGCUCUGUGUCUUGCCCAAGGCCGGGCGAGGCAGGAAUCGAACCUGCAAUAUUCCGAUCAGGGGCCGACCGCCCUACCACUGUACCGCCGCCCUCAAUGCUCCUGUGGUUGGUGUCGGGUGAGAUGAUUCCUCACCUUCAGCUCGGGCAGGUCAGGGAAGAGCGGGUGAAGCCCCUCCUGCAGCACCCGGGACAUGGCUCUCAGGACGCGCGGGAGGUCGGUUCCAAACGUGCGGAAGACGACGGCGAAGUCCAGGCCUUCCUGCGUCAGGUCUUUGAGCAGCUGGAAGAAGGACGGCAGGAUCCAGUGGUAGAGACACCCGUCUUCACCUCGGAUCGACAGCUCCUUGUCCUUCUGUGGACGGCCGGAAUCUCCAGGAGUGGAGAUCCCACGUUCCUCACUCAGACGCUGUGGCGAGCGGCUCACCUUCAUCCCUUCUGGCCAGCGGAGCAUCUGCAGAUGUUCAUCCAACGCCC